AAUGAACGCUGGCGGCGCGCCUAAUACAUGCAAGUCGAGCGAGAAGACGUAGCAAUACGUUUGUAAAGCGGCGAACGGGUGAGGAAUACAUGGGUAACCUACCCUCGAGUGGGGAAUAACUAGCCGAAAGGUUAGCUAAUACCGCGUACGCUUCUUGGACUUCGGUUCAGGGAGGAAAGCGAUGCCGAGGGUAUCGCGCUCUUGGAUGGGCUCAUGUCCUAUCAGCUUGUUGGGAGGUAACGGCUCACCAAGGCUUCGACGGGUAGCUGGUCUGAGAGGACGAUCAGCCACACUGGCACUGCGACACGGCCCAGACUCCUACGGGAGGCAGCAGUGGGGAAUUUUGGACAAUGGGGGCAACCCUGAUCCAGCCAUGCCGCGUGCGGGAAGAAGGCCU
rnacentral:rRNA from 1 species